UUUAUUAGUAAAGAGAUUUUUAGGACCAACCCUUAAAUAUGCAAUGAAACUAAUUCAAAGAAAGAAAAAAAAAACACCUUUAGCGUGUGGCUGUGGGUACUUACACUCGGGUUUUCGGAAAGGAAACGAUGAGAAGGUAUGCCAUUGGCCCGAUUACAAGAUGUAGAUAGCGGUAAAUAGCAGAUAGGCAGAUAGUAAUUAGAUAGAGGUAGAUAGAUUUGUUGAUUAUUAUGACAUCUAGGGAGCUAGAGCGAAAAUAAACCUCUCCUCCCUUGUCCCUUCCGUCGGAGCUCCCCCGGCUGCAGGGAGGCGGUGCGCCCACUGUGAAAGCCAAUGUUGUUAACAUGCCACGUACUGGAUCAAUACAGGAUUGAUUUUUCGUGAUGGUUCCUUCCGAGUGUCGCUGUUAACCACUUUUGUUUGAAAUUUGAACAGACGUUGGUAUGUCCCAUGUCACUCCCUCUCAUUUUCUUUUAAUCUCCUUUCUCAAAGGAGCCGCCACGUUUUUUAAUUGCGCCGUAACAAGCGUCGGGGAGGCAAGCCCGUGAAUGUGACAGCGGCGAGUCUAGUCGGGGUCCGUGAAUAGGACAUCGUCCUACGAGAACCGAACAACUCCGUUUUGGCUUCCUCUUUCGGCCAUGAAAACAUGAAUUUUUCAUUACUUUAAAAGCAAGUGAUUAAUUACAUUUCAACUGUUGAUGUGACCUCUUAAUAUAACGAUUACGCUUAGUUUUUAGUGUUUUUAGCAAAUAUGUAAAACUGUGUUUAAUUUCGUUACUGUUUUAACUGUUAAAUUGUGUGUUGUGUUCGGAAGCGAAUGUCAAGCGCAAGCCAUAGAAUUGUGCUUUUAAUUUGUGCAGUGUUUACAAAUAUUGUGAUAAUUACUGUGAAAUACAAAAUUUUAACCACAGAUCUCUGCCAGUAUGGAAUGCAAUGCAAUGCUCUUUAGUCAAUAAAGGAAGGAGAGAUGUCCACGACAGUGAACGCAUCUGCCGAUCAAAAUCGGAAUCUUCCUACCUACCAAGUGCCUAAUAGUAGGGUGAGUAAUUUUUUUAAGGUAAUUUUCAUGUAACGUUUUGGCUAAUGAGAGGAAGAAACUAGCUACAACUUCCUGUAGAGGCAAAUAAUUCAUAGUCUGAUGAAAACUAACCAAUUACACACCAGAUAAAUAACAGGAAAGUUAAGCACUUGAUGACAGUUCAGAGAUGCCAAGCCUUCAGGUAGAAGUCAUUAAUGCUUGUAAGGGACUUGCCAACAGUCAAGGAUCUCCUACUGAAGGAAUUAGGUUAGGGGAGGAUAUAUAGGGUGCUUCUCUUGCAG
rnacentral:lncRNA from 1 species